AUGAUUAAGGGAACCUUGCAUGACUCCAUUUUCUCUGUAGAAGCAUGCUCUCUGAACUCACCCUCAUACUCAGGAAGUGAAUUGAUUUGUCACUGUUAUUUUGUUUGUACUGCCACGAGAAAUUUACCUGACCUUCCAUGGAGGCUCUACAACCACACGAUGGUGAACGACAAGCAGCAUCAGCGAAACAAACAGUUAACAAGAUUGUGCGGCGGCGACGGAGGACCUUACCCAGUGCUGCAGCUGAAUGGAGGUGCAGCGCCCCCCGCGUUAUGGACCCAAGGCCCGGCGUGGGGGUUUGGCUAG
rnacentral:rRNA from 1 species